rnacentral:rRNA from 1 species
UACGUAGGGGGCAAGCGUUGUCCGGAAUCAUUGGGCGUAAAGCGCGUGUAGGCGGUUCGGUAAGUCGGCUGUGAAAGUCCAGGGCUCAACCCUGGGAUGCCGGUCGAUACUGCCGGACUAGAGUUCGGAAGAGGCGAGUGGAACUCCUGGUGUAGCGGUGGAAUGCGCAGAUAUCAGGAAGAACACCGAUGGCGAAGGCAGGUCUCUGGGCCACUACUGACGCUGAGAAGCGAAAGCAUGGGGAGCGAACAGG